UCUAAGAGCGUGCGAAAAUGGGAGGAAAAUAGAACGGGUGUUCAAGAUGAGAAUUUUGCGAUAAAUUGUGAAUUAAAAUAGCUGAUGACUGCUUACGAAAUUUCAUUUGUCAUCCAGAUCAAAGUGUUUAAUGAUAGAAAUAACUUCCUCUGUCUAGCUAUAAAACAUCUGUUAUCUCGACAAUAAAUAAUGUUGUUAGAGGAGAAAAAAGAAGACCCUGAUCAACAUAAGCAAAGCUUGCUGUGCCAAAUACAUUCAUUUUCACUGCGGCAUUUAACGGGUUAAAGUGUGCCGAGCUAUACACGACCUUUUCUACUGGCAGUCAGCUUGGUUAAGUGUAUUGCAGAUGACAGCCAUAUUUGUGCCUCAGGAACCAGAACGAGAAUGAUAGAGCUGUCAAUGGUGAACCCCAAUAUUAGAAUAAUCAUCGAUCCAUUGAAUAUUCCUUUCCCUGUGGUACUGUGUAAAAAUAAAUAACAACCAAGAUGGUAUAUAUAUAAAUA